rnacentral:rRNA from 1 species
GAGUUUAAUAUAUUUAUUUUAUAAAUAUUUAGAAUUUAAUUUUUAUAAUUAUAAUAUAUUUAAUUGGGGUGAUUAAAAAAUUUAAUAAACUUUUUUUAUAUAUUAAUAUAUAUUAAUAAAUUAAUGAUCCAAUAAUUUUGAUUAUAAGGUAAAUUACCUUAGGGAUAACAGCGUAAUUUUAUUAGAGAGUUCUAAUCGAAAAUAAAGUUUGCGACCUCGAUGUUGGAUUAAAAUUUAUAUUUGGUGAAGAAGCUAAAUAAUUUAAGUCUGUUCGACUUUUAAAAUUUUAC